rnacentral:rRNA from 1 species
AGUAAAGUGGCGCACGGGUGAGUAACGCGUAGGUGAUCUACCUUUGUGACCGGGAUAACCAGUCGAAAGAUUGGCUAAUACUGGAUAGAGCGCUUUGAUCGUAAAGAUUAGAGCGGGAAAGGGAGGCCUUAGCAAUAGGGCUUUUGCACUGGGAUGAGCCUGCGUCUCAUUAGCUAGUUGGUGAGGUAAAAGCUCACCAAGGCGAUGAUGGGUAGCUGGUCUGAGAGGACGAUCAGCCACACUGGAACUGAAACACGGUCCAGACUCCUACGGGAGGCAGCAGUGGGGAAUCUUGCGCAAUGGACGAAAGUCUGACGCAGCGACGCCGCGUGGGUGAAGAAGGCCUUCGGGUUGUAAAGCCCUGUCGAAUGGGAAAAAUGAUAUCUGGAAUAAUACGUCAGGUAAGUGAUUGUACCAUUAGAGGAAGCACCGGCUAACUCCGUGCCAGCAGCCGCGGUAAUACGGAGGGUGCAAGCGUUGUUCGGAAUUAUUGGGCGUAAAGGGCAAGUAGGUGGUCUUGUAAGUUUACUGUGAAAUCCCCGAGCUUAACUUGGGAAGUGCGGUGAAUACUGCAAGACUAGAGUAUCGGAGGGGUACGUGGAAUUCCCAGUGUAGCGGUGAAAUGCGUAGAUAUUGGGAGGAACACCAGAGGCGAAGGCGGCGUACUGGACGAUAACUGACACUCAAUUGCGAAAGCGUGGGGAGCAAACAGGAUUAGAUACCUUGGUAGUCCACGCUGUAAACGAUGGAUACUAGACGUGGUGGGUCUUGACCCCUGCCGUGUCGAAGUUAACACAAUAAGUAUCCCGCCUGGGGAGUACGGUCGCAAGACUAAAACUCAAAGGAAUUGACGGGGGCCCGCACAAGCGGUGGAUCAUGUGGUUUAAUUCGAAACCACGCGAAGAACCUUACCUAGAUUUGACAUCCCAUUGAACACAUUCAGAGAUGAGAGUGGGCUCGCAAGAGACAAUGGAGACAGGUGCUGCAUGGCUGUCGUCAGCUCGUGUUGUGAAAUGUUGGGUUAAGUCCCGCAACGAGCGCAACCCCUGGUUUUGGUUGCCAUCAUUAAGUUGGGCACUCCAGAACGACUGCCGUCGUCAAGACGGAGGAAGGUGGGGAUGACGUCAAGUCCUCAUGGCCUUUAUAUCUAGGGCGACACACGUGAUACAAUGGUAGGUACAGAGGGUAGCGAAGUGGUGACACGGAGCCAAUCUCAAAAAGCCUAUCUCAGUUCGGAUUGGAGUCUGCAACUCGACUCCAUGAAGUUGGAAUCGCUAGUAAUCGCGGAUCAGCACGCCGCGGUGAAUACGUUCCCGGGCCUUGUACACACCGCCCGUCACACCAUGAGAGCUGGCUCAACCAGAAGUCGUGACUGUUAACCGCAAGGAGACGGACGCCGAAGGCGGGGCUAGUGAUUAGGGUGAAGUCGGAACAAGGUA